GGCAGGCCUAACACAUGCAAGUCGAGCGGAAACGAGUUAUCUGAACCUUCGGGGAACGAUAACGGCGUCGAGCGGCGGACGGGUGAGUAAUGCCUAGGAAAUUGCCCUGAUGUGGGGGAUAACCAUUGGAAACGAUGGCUAAUACCGCAUGAUGCCUACGGGCCAAAGAGGGGGACCUUCGGGCCUCUCGCGUCAGGAUAUGCCUAGGUGGGAUUAGCUAGUUGGUGAGGUAAGGGCUCACCAAGGCGACGAUCCCUAGCUGGUCUGAGAGGAUGAUCAGCCACACUGGAACUGAGACACGGUCCAGACUCCUACGGGAGGCAGCAGUGGGGAAUAUUGCACAAUGGGCGCAAGCCUGAUGCAGCCAUGCCGCGUGUGUGAAGAAGGCCUUCCGGGUUGUAAAGCACUUUCCAGUCGUGAGGAAGGUAGUGUAGUUAAUAGCUGCAUUAUUUGACGUUAGCGACAGAAGAA
rnacentral:rRNA from 1 species